AGAUGCGAGGCGGCGGUCAGCAGGUGCCGAACCCACGGCCAGGCUUCCGUGGCAAGCAGCCCUAGAGGAAUGGCCGUCCUGUCCCUGCGAGCCCCUGGGCCCUGGCAGGCGAUCCAGGUGGGAUGCUAUGGAAUAUGAUGAGAAGCUGGCCCGGUUCCGGCAGGCCCACCUCAACCCCUUCAACAAGCAGUCUGGGCCGAGACAGCAUGAGCAGGGCCCUGGGGAGGAGGUCCCGGACGUCACUCCUGAAGAGGCCCUGCCUGAGCUGCCCCCUGGGGAGCCGGAAUUCCGCUGCCCUGAACGCGUGAUGGAUCUCGGCCUGUCUGAGGACCACUUCUCCCGCCCUGUGGGUCUGUUCCUGGCCUCUGACGUCCAGCAGCUGCGGCAGGCGAUCGAGGAGUGCAAGCAGGUGAUUCUGGAGCUGCCCGAGCAAUCGGAGAAGCAGAAGGAUGCCGUGGUGCGACUCAUCCACCUCCGGCUGAAGCUCCAGGAGCUGAAGCCUCAGGCAGGCCUUCCCUGUGCGGUGGCAGAGACGGUCC
rnacentral:sRNA from 1 species